GGUUGGGUUUGAUCGGAGACAGGGACGAGGCAGAGCAUGGGUAGGGGGCCAUCAACAGAAUUCCAAAUUUGAUUUCUGUUUGCUCGCUCACAAAAUGGAGGGACUCACCACAAACACACUCAGGCGUUGUUGCUCCCUCCCCUGCACUGCCUCUUCCCUGGCUCCUCACCGUCUCCCAUCC
rfam:Zea mays cultivar B73 chromosome 8, whole genome shotgun sequence.